rnacentral:rRNA from 1 species
AGUGAACGCUGGCGGUAGGCCUAACACAUGCAAGUCGAACGGCAGCACAGUAAGAGCUUGCUCUUACGGGUGGCGAGUGGCGGACGGGUGAGGAAUACAUCGGAAUCUACUUUUUCGUGGGGGAUAACGUAGGGAAAUUUACGCUAAUACCGCAUACGACCUACGGGUGAAAGCAGGGGAUCUUCGGACCUUGCGCGAUUGAAUGAGCCGAUGUCGGAUUAGCUAGUUGGCGGGGUAAAGGCCCACCAAGGCGACGAUCCGUAGCUGGUCUGAGAGGAUGAUCAGCCACACUGGAACUGAGACACGGUCCAGACUCCUACGGGAGGCAGCAGUGGGGAAUAUUGGACAAUGGGCGCAAGCCUGAUCCAGCCAUACCGCGUGGGUGAAGAAGGCCUUCGGGUUGUAAAGCCCUUUCGUUGGGAAAGAAAAGCAGCAGGUUAAUACCCCGCUGUUCUGACGGUACCCAAAGAAUAAGCACCGGCUAACUUCGUG